rnacentral:rRNA from 1 species
GACGAACGCUGGCGGCGUGCUUAACACAUGCAAGUCGAACGGAAAGGCCCUGCUUUUGUGGGGUGCUCGAGUGGCGAAAGGGUGAGUAACACGUGAGUAACCUGCCCUUGACUUUGGGAUAACUUCAGGAAACUGGGGCUAAUACCGGAUAGGAGCUCCUGCUGCAUGGUGGGGGUUGGAAAGUUUCGGCGGUUGGGGAUGGACUCGCGGCUUAUCAGCUUGUUGGUGGGGUAGUGGCUUACCAAGGCUUUGACGGGUAGCCGGCCUGAGAGGGUGACCGGCCACAUUGGGACUGAGAUACGGCCCAGACUCCUACGGGAGGCAGCAGUGGGGAAUAUUGCACAAUGGGCGGAAGCCUGAUGCAGCAACGCCGCGUGCGGGAUGACGGCCUUCGGGCUGUAAACCGCUUUCGCCUGUGACGAAGCGUGAGUGACGGUAAUGGGUAAAGAAGCACCGGCUAACUACGUG